UACGGAGGAUCCAAGCGUUAUCCGGAUUCACUGGGUUUAAAGGGUGCGUAGGAGGGCAGGUAAGUCAGUGGUGAAAUCUUUGGGCUUAACCCGAAAACUGCCAUUGAUACUAUCUGUCUUGAAUAUUGUGGAGGUGAGCGGAAUAUGUCAUGUAGCGGUGAAAUGCUUAGAUAUGACAUAGAACACCGAUUGCGAAGGCAGCUCGCUACGCAUAUAUUGACUCUGAGGCACGAAAGCGUGGGGAUCAAACAGG
rnacentral:rRNA from 1 species